rnacentral:lncRNA from 1 species
UAAAGCCCACAUCUCGUGUCCAUCCAUGUGACAUGAUUCCCUCGGUUUAAAUCAGCCCCGAACCGGAUUAACUGUACCGGACCGAACCUCGUUUCUAUGAAAAUGCAUUAAACAGGUUUCACACUUCCCAUCAUCUCUAACCACCGACUAUUAUCAUAAAAUAGAAACACAGAGACACAGACCUCUCACCUUCAACAAUUUCGUUUUCUUUCUGUAUUAUAAGCAAAAAACCUAAGGGGAGUGAAAGAGAGUUAAUGGCGUUAGCGAAUAACUUAACGGCGAUACUGAACUUACUAGCGUUACUCUGUUCCAUACCGAUCACGGCGUCAGGGAUAUGGCUUGCCUCAAAGCCCGACAACGAAUGCGUCAAUCUCCUCCGUUGGCCC